rnacentral:rRNA from 1 species
UACGGGAGGCAGCAGUGGGGAAUAUUGCACAAUGGAGGAAACUCUGAUGCAGCGAUGCCGCGUGAGGGAAGAAGGUUUUAGGAUUGUAAACCUCUGUUGACAGGGACGAUAAU